rnacentral:rRNA from 1 species
UACGGAGGGAGCUAGCGUUGUUCGGAAUUACUGGGCGUAAAGCGCACGUAGGCGGCUUUGUAAGUUAGAGGUGAAAGCCCGGGGCUCAACUCCGGAACUGCCUUUAAGACUGCAUCGCUUGAAUCCGGGAGAGGUGAGUGGAAUUCCGAGUGUAGAGGUGAAAUUCGUAGAUAUUCGGAAGAACACCAGUGGCGAAGGCGAGUCCCUGGACAACACCUGACACUGAGGCACGAAAGCCGGGGGAGCAAACAGG